UUACUUCGACAAUACACAUGCUCAAAUUUAAGUGGUAUAGAGAAGAUUAGCAUAAUUCUUGUGCAAGGAUGACACUUAAUUUGAUACGCAUUUUAGAAUUAA